rnacentral:rRNA from 1 species
GACGAACGCUGGCGGCGUGCUUAACACAUGCAAGUCGAACGAUGAAGCCUAGCUUGCUAGGUGGAUUAGUGGCGAACGGGUGAGUAAUACGUGAGUAACCUACCUUUAACUCUGGGAUAAGCCCGGGAAACUGGGUCUAAUACCGGAUACGACCAAUCUCCGCAUGGGGUGUUGGUGGAAAGCGUUAUGUAGUGGUUAUAGAUGGGCUCACGGCCUAUCAGCUUGUUGGUGAGGUAACGGCUCACCAAGGCGACGACGGGUAGCCGGCCUGAGAGGGUGACCGGCCACACGGGAACUAGGGAACGGCCAGACUCCUACGGGAGGCAGCAGUGGGGAAUAUUGCACAAUGGGCGCAAGCCUGAUGCAGCGACGCCGCGUGAGGGAUGACGGCCUUCGGGUUGUAAACCUCUGUUAGCAGGGAAGAAGAGAGAUUGACGGUACCUGCAGAGAAAGCGCCGGCUAACUACGUG